GAUGAACGCUGGCGGCGUGCUUAACACAUGCAAGUCGAACGGAAAGGCCAGUGCUUGCACUGGUACUCGGGUGGCGAACGGGUGAGUAACACGUGGGUGAUCUGCCCUGCACUUCGGGAUAAGCCUGGGAAACUGGGUCUAAUACCGGAUAGGACAAUGGUUUGGAUGCCGUUGUGGAAAGUUUUUUCGGUGUGGGAUGAGCUCGCGGCCUAUCAGCUUGUUGGUGGGGUAAUGGCCUACCAAGGCGUCGACGGGUAGCCGGCCUGAGAGGGUGUACGGCCACAUUGGGACUGAGAGACGGCCCAGACUCCUACGGGAGGCAGCAGUGGGGAAUAUUGCACAAUGGGCGCAAGCCUGAUGCAGCGACGCCGCGUGGGGGAUGACGGCCUUCGGGUUGUAAACACCUUUCGCUAGGGACGAAGCGUAUUUGUGACGGUACCUGGAGAAGAAGCACCGGCUAACUACGUG
rnacentral:rRNA from 1 species